rnacentral:siRNA from 1 species
AUAUUCUGCGGCUGAAGAUCAUCA